rnacentral:lncRNA from 1 species
UUGUGUCAAUUUUAUUGUUCUUUUUAUGUUGCUUGUCAUCUUUCUCUUCUUUAUGAUUGUUGUUGUUGUUUUGGUGCGUUGUUGAAUUUUCCUCUCACUGAUACAUGCAUGUAUGUUCAAUGAAACUUGUUUGAUAUUCCUGCAAAAUUUAAAAAGUAAAGAAGAGAAGGAAAAUAAGUAAAACAAAAAAGAUGUCUGACCACAAAAAUAAUAUAUUGAGAAAAACU